rnacentral:rRNA from 1 species
GACAGAGGGUGCAAACGUUGUUCGGAAUUACUGGGCGUAAAGCGCGUGUAGGCGGCCCUGCAAGUCGGAUGUGAAAUCCCAUGGCUCAACUAUGGAAGUGCAUUCGAAACUGCAGAGCUAGAGUCCUGGAGAGGAAGGUGGAAUGCUUGGUGUAGAGGUGAAAUUCGUAGAUAUCAAGCGGAACACCGGUGGCGAAGGCGGCUCUCUGGACCUGUCCUGACGCUCAGGCGCGAAAGCUAGGGGAGCGAACAGG